GUGCUUGCUUUGGCAGCACAUAUGCUAAAGUUGGAAUGAUACUGAGAAGAUUAGCAUGGCCCCUGCACAAGCAUGACACACAAACUCAUGAAGCGUUCCAUAAUUUU
ensembl:snRNA U6 U6 spliceosomal RNA